rnacentral:lncRNA from 1 species
UAAAGCCUGCGCCUUUGUUCUCUCUAGAGCUCAACCGGGACCUCUGAAGUCCAGGGCAUUGAUUCCCUCACCAGCUUGGGUGGCAGUCUGGAAUCACCAUAGCUGAUGAGGAUCUACUGACUUGACCAGUUUUGUUCCAAUUUUUACUUUUGACAAGAUGAAUUGGCCAAGACAUAUUUGAUUGUAUAUGAGACACAUUCUUGCAAGUGGCGAAAUGGCUAAGUAUAGCCUAGAAUUUAUUUGAAAUUGCCUGUGCUCC